rnacentral:rRNA from 1 species
UACGUAGGGUGCGAGCGUUGUCCGGAAUUAUUGGGCGUAAAGAGCUUGUAGGCGGUCUGUCGCGUCUGCUGUGAAAAUCCGGGGCUCAACCCCGGACUUGCAGUGGGUACGGGCAGACUAGAGUGUGGUAGGGGAGACUGGAAUUCCUGGUGUAGCGGUGAAAUGCGCAGAUAUCAGGAGGAACACCGAGUGGCGAAGGCAGGUCUCUGGGC